AAGAGAAGGAAGAUGGCCGACAAGAUCCUGCCGCAGAGGAUUCGGGAGCUGGUUCCGGAGUCUCAAGCUUACAUGGACCUCUUAGCGUUUGAGAGGAAAUUGGACCAAACCAUCAUGAGGAAACGUGUCGAUAUCCAGGAAGCUUUGAAGAGACCAAUGAAG